UGGCUUUCUGAAUAUCUUUAUUAGACUUAUUUGCUUAUUGAUAUGGGUUUGCUUGCCUUUUUUCAGCUUUAGAAUUGAUAAUGUGAUGAUUGAUGAUAAUAUAGCAAUUGCAAUCGGGAUCGCGUUUGUUUUUUGUAUCAUAUGUUUGUUCGAUUCAUGUUAAAUACCGACUGUGGGCUCUAGUGUUGAUUAUGCCAUAGAUUUGUGUUAGAGAAACAUUAAAUUGGGAAGAACAAUUUUGUAAAACAUGUUGUAAGCCAGAAACAUGUUUUCUGGAACAUGUUAUAAGACUCGUGCUGAAUGAUUUGGGAAGUUGGUGGAUUGAUGUCGUAUUGCAUUUAAGUUGGAAAGAAACGUGUCUUGCCUUGAAUCAUUUGAUACAAUUGCAGAUUUAGAUAAAUAUUUUUCAAAGACAGCCCAAAAAAAUCCAGACUUUACAAACUGAAAGAGCAAAACAAAGUGAGACAGUUUUGUCUUUGAAAUGUGGGUAUUGAGCAAAAGCUCCUCCUUUUUCUUCAUCCAUGAUUCACUCAACCUUCAUUGAAGCAGACAAAACUUAUUGGAAAAGCUUUUUAGCAGGGACAAAUUUGGUCUUUGAAUCAAUCAGAUUAGGGUUUAACUUCAUGUCUUUGUGUUUGUGCAUUGUGUCUGAGAUCCCUGAAUAUAAAGUUGAAGGCUUGCCAUCUGUUAUGCUUUUUGUCGAAGGAGCUAUUGGGAGAUUUUGAGGCAUAUGCAGAGAUUUUCAUUCCAGUAUGUUGAUAUUAUCUUACCAAUAACAAUCCUGAUCUGGUCACCAAAUAGGAAGUAAAAAAAAUUAAAAUCAUCAAGUGAAAAGGUGGUACUCUAAUUUUAUCAUAUGUAACCAGGUCCUUUUCAAGCUGGUUGUGAUAGAUGUACUUGUAAUUGCAGAGUCUGUAGAUAACUGCAUAAAAACGAUAAUUUCAAUUCUAUUGACCCUUUUUCCUGCUACCUUUACCUCUCUCUCUUUUCUUUUUUCUCUUUUUUGUUUUACAUAAUAUUCAUUUAUGAAA